AAAGCGGUUAGGCGCGCGCCUGCAGCUCGGCGCUAGCCCAGACUCCGGAAGCCGCUCUCAAGCUCGCGUGGACGGCAGAGGGCGGCUGCAGCUCGGGCGCAGGCGCCGCUGGCUUGCGGGUUCUCCUGGGCUCGCGCAGGACGUCCCGGAAUCGCAGGCGCGCAUCCCUUCCCGCCUGAGGGCCCGCCUGGCCGUGACUCCCGCUCCUCUCCUCCUCCGAAGAGAGAUGGGGCCGCUGGCAGGGGCUCUCCGCAGCCACCGGGGAUGGGGCUGAGGGUCGGUUCCUGCCCCGGUGCAGCCGCCGCGGGCAGACCGCCUGGCUUGGCCGCAGCCACAGCGACAUCUAGCCCCGGUUCUGCGAGGCUGGGCGCGCCAGCCAGCUUGGGAGUUGCCUGGCGCCUGUAGCUGGGCGCCCAGGUGGUGGAGCAUGGCCUGAGCGGCCUCUGGAUCGCGAGUGCCCCUGGCCUGAGAGCCCGCCAGACCCUGCCCCUACCCGGCUCCUCCUCUGCCAAAGCUCGAGACCUCUAGCCAGGGGCCCUCUGCAGCCACCGGGGAUGGGGCUGAGGGCCGGUUCCCGCCCCUGUGCAGCUGCUGCAGGACAGACCGCCUGGCUUGGCCGCAGCCACAGGGACAUCUGGCCCUGGUUCUGAGAUGUGGGGAGUGAGGGCGGGCUCGAGAGUUGCCUGGAGGCUGCUGCCUGCACACAGAAGGCGGCUGCAGCUUGGGUGCCCAGGCGGGCUGGAGGUGCAUGGCCUGGUCGGCCUCGGGAUCGCCAGCGCGCCCAGCCUGAGGGCCCCCAGGUCGUGCCUCCCGCCCACUCCUCCACCUGAGGGGGAUUGGGGCCGCUGGCAUGGGCACUCGGCAGUCACCCCGUGUGGGGUUGAGCGGCGGGUUCUCGGUUCUGCCCCUGUGCAGCCGCCGCCGGGCAGAAUGCUGGCUUGGCUGCAGCCACUGGGACACCUGGCCCUGGUUCUGCGAUGCUGGGAGCGCGAGUGGGCUCGGAGGUUGCCAGGCAGCUGCUGCCUGCACACAGAGGGCGACUGCAGCUUGGGCGCCCAGGCGGCGGAGCAUGGUCUGGGUGGCCUCUGGAAUGCGUGCGCGCCAGACCUGAGGGCCCUCCUGCUGGUGCCACCUGACCCGGUCUUCCUCUGCUGGAGCCUGGAGCUGCUGGAAUGGCCACUCUGCAGUCACAGGGGAUAGAGUUAAGUUUUCUUAUCCCAGGCAUGCACACAAAAAGACAGAGUCUCGCUCUUGUCACCCAGGCUGGAUCCAGCAUCCUGCUACUGGAUACGUAGAUAAAAGAGAAGUAUUACAUCUUUGAGAUAUGGAAUCAACCUAAGUGCUACUCUAAGCAUACAAGUGCAGGUGAAAUGCUCAUUGCAGUGCUGCAAAAAGGUGAGGUCACAGGGCACAAACCCGUAUCUGAGACCUGGAUGCCUUCCUCCACGCACUCACCCACUGGCUGUCCUGAGCAUCACCCUGUACCUAUUGUCACAGCAACAAGGGAAAAAUCAGCAUAGUGGUCAAGUCCAUUGUCAGCUUCUGACACUGCCUCUUACAAGGAGGUGACUUUGGAAAUGUCAUUCAGCCUUCCUGUGCCUGAGAUCGCCUCACCUGUCAAAUGGGAACAAUAAAGCACUUC